UGGGGAAUAUUGCACAAUGGGGGAAACCCUGAUGCAGCCAUGCCGCGUGUGUGAAGAAGGCCUUCGGGUUGUAAAGCACUUUCAGUAGGGAGGAAAGGUAGCAGCUUAAUACGCUGUUGCUGUGACGUUACCUACAGAAGAAGGACCGGCUAACUCCGUGCCAGCAGCCGCGGUAAUACGGAGGGUCCGAGCGUUAAUCGGAAUUACUGGGCGUAAAGCGUGCGCAGGCGGUUUGUUAAGCGAGAUGUGAAAGCCCCGGGCUCAACCUGGGAAUUGCAUUUCGAACUGGCGAACUAGAGUCUUGUAGAGGGGGGUAGAAUUCCAGGUGUAGCGGUGAAAUGCGUAGAGAUCUGGAGGAAUACCGGUGGCGAAGGCGGCCCCCUGGACAAAGACUGACGCUCAGGCACGAAAGCGUGGGGAGCAAACAGGAUUAGAUACCCUGGUAGUCCACGCCGUAAACGAUGUCUACUAGUUGUCGGGAGACUUGAUCUCUUGGUAACGAAGCUAACGCGAUAAGUAGACCGCCUGGGGAGUACGGCCGCAAGGUUA
rnacentral:rRNA from 1 species